GGAUUUAUUGGGCGUAAAGCGAGCGCAGGCGGUUUUUUAAGUCUGAUGUGAAAGCCUUCGGCUCAACCGAAGAAGUGCAUCGGAAACUGGGAAACUUGAGUGCAGAAGAGGACAGUGGAACUCCAUGUGUAGCGGUGAAAUGCGUAGAUAUAUGGAAGAACACCAGUGGCGAAGGCGGCUGUCUGGUCUGUAACUGACGCUGAGGCUCGAAAGUAUGGGUAGCAAACAGGAUUAGAUACCCUGGUAGUCCAUACCGUAAACGAUGAAUGCUAAGUGUUGGAGGGUUUCCGCCCUUCAGUGCUGCAGCUAACGCAUUAAGCAUUCCGCCUGGGGAGUACGGCCGCAAGGCUGAAACUCAAAGGAAUUGACGGGGGCCCGCACAAGCGGUGGAGCAUGUGGUUUAAUUCGAAGCUACGCGAAGAACCUUACCAGGUCUUGACAUACUAUGCAAAUCUAAGAGAUUAGACGUUCCCUUCGGGGACAUGGAUACAGGUGGUGCAUGGUUGUCGUCAGCUCGUGUCGUGAGAUGUUGGGUUAAGUCCCGCAACGAGCGCAACCCUUAUUAUCAGUUGCCAGCAUUAAGUUGGGCACUCUGGUGAGACUGCCGGUGACAAACCGGAGGAAGGUGGGGAUGACGUCAAAUCAUCAUGCCCCUUAUGACCUGGGCUACACACGUGCUACAAUGGAUGGUACAACGAGUUGCGAACUCGCGAGAGUAAGCUAAUCUCUUAAAGCCAUUCUCAGUUCGGAUUGUAGGCUGCAACUCGCCUACAUGAAGUCGGAAUCGCUAGUAAUCGCGGAUCAGCAUGCCGCGGUGAAUACGUUCCCGGGCCUUGUACACACCGCCCGUCACACCAUGAGAGUUUGUAACACCCAAAGUCGGUGGGGUAACC
rnacentral:rRNA from 1 species